AGAGUUUGAUUCUGGCUCAGGAUGAACGCUAGCUACAGGCUAACACAUGCAAGUCGAGGGGUAGCAGGGUAGCAAUACCGCUGACGACCGGCGCACGGGUGAGUAACACGUAUCCAACCUUCCCAUAACUCAGGGAUAGCCUUUCGAAAGAAAGAUUAAUACCUGAUAGUACUUUUUCAAGGCAUCUUGAGAAAGUUAAAGAUUUAUUGGUUAUGGAUGGGGAUGCGUUCCAUUAGAUAGUUGGUGAGGUAACGGCUCACCAAGUCUUCGAUGGAUAGGGGUUCUGAGAGGAAGGUCCCCCACAUUGGUACUGAGACACGGACCAAACUCCUACGGGAGGCAGCAGUGAGGAAUAUUGGUCAAUGGGCGAGAGCCUGAACCAGCCAAGUAGCGUGAAGGAUGAAGGUCCUAUGGAUUGUAAACUUCUUUUAUAGUAGAAUAAAGUGAUCCACGUGUGGAUUUUUGUAUGUAUACUAUGAAUAAGGAUCGGCUAACUCCGUGCCAGCAGCGGC
rnacentral:rRNA from 1 species